rnacentral:lncRNA from 1 species
AUGUGGAUCAGAAAGAUCACAUACUCGUGCCUCCUGUUUACUGACGAUACUGCGCCCCACAGUGGAGGACUCCAGAAACUGCACCCUGGACACACACUGCUGGAGCUGCACGACAGAGUUCCAUCUCGAAGCGCAUGUGGACCUAUCACAGAGAAGAAGACGGUGAGAACACAGCAGCAGGGGAACACCUGCGCGUUGGGCAACACCUGUUGCUGCUGCUGUAUUUUGGCGGAGAGCGUGGUGACUUCCUGCGCCCUCUCGCUGGCCUGGCUCUCCAGGAGUCGGAGCUGCUUCUUGAGGUCGGGGAGCGACUCGGAGGCGAGAUGGAUGGGCAGGCUGAGGUCACGGAUCUGGGCGCACAGCUCCUCCUUCUGCUGCUGCAGAUGUUCCGUCUCUGUCUGGCUGUCCUGCACGCAGCCACGCAAACAGGUCAGCAGUCAGAGCAUGUCCACGGAUAAUGAAUGUUUAAAGGUGACGCUUGUGUGGCAACGUCAAUAAAACAGCAGAAGAAAUUGAUUCAACUAGGAAAUUGGUACGUUUUGAAUAUUUUAUAACACUCUGGAACAGCAUCUCCAAAUCAGUGUGUCCAUAUUUACACAACUAUCCAUUAGAUUCCUUUCUGCCAUACAUAUUAGAAUAGACUGUAGGUUUAGAUU